rnacentral:rRNA from 1 species
GGCUUGGCUGGGUGGUCCGCCUCACGGUGUGUACUGCCUGGCUGAGCCUUACCUCUUGGUGAGCCUGUAUGCCCUUUAUUGGGUGUGCAGGGGAACCAGGAAUUUUACUUUGAAAAAAUUAGAGUGUUCAAAGCAGGCAUUUGCCCGAAUACAUUAGCAUGGAAUAAUAGAAUAGGACGU